UACGUAGGGGGCAAGCGUUGUCCGGAUUUAUUGGGCGUAAAGAGCGUGUAGGCGGCUAGGUAGGUCCGUUGUGAAAACUCGAGGCUCAACCUCGAGACGUCGAUGGAAACCAUCUAGCUAGAGUCCGGAAGAGGAGAGUGGAAUUCCUGGUGUAGCGGUGGAAUGCGCAGAUAUCAGGAGGAACACCGGUGGCGAAGGCGGGUCUCUGGGCAGUAACUGACGCUGAGGAGCGAAAGCCAGGGGAGCAAACGGG
rnacentral:rRNA from 1 species